rnacentral:rRNA from 1 species
AGUUUGAUCCUGGCUCAGGACGAACGCUGGCGGCGUGCCUAAUACAUGCAAGUAGAACGCUGAAGGAGGAGCUUGCUUCUCCGGAUGAGUUGCGAACGGGUGAGUAACGCGUAGGUAACCUGCCUGGUAGCGGGGGAUAACUAUUGGAAACGAUAGCUAAUACCGCAUAACAGUAGAUAUUGCAUGAUAUCUGCUUGAAAGGUGCAAUUGCAUCACUACCAGAUGGACCUGCGUUGUAUUAGCUAGUUGGUGAGGUAACGGCUCACCAAGGCGACGAUACAUAGCCGACCUGAGAGGGUGAUCGGCCACACUGGGACUGAGACACGGCCCAGACUCCUACGGGAGGCAGCAGUAGGGAAUCUUCGGCAAUGGACGGAAGUCUGACCGAGCAACGCCGCGUGAGUGAAGGAGGUUUUCGGAUCGUAAAGCUCUGUUGUAAGAGAAGAACGAGUGUGAGAGUGGAAAGUUCACACUGUGACGGUAUCUUACCAGAAAGGGACGGCUAACUACGUGCCAGCAGCCGCGGUAAUAC